AUGGAAUUGAAAAUACACUAUUCACUUGCAGUCCGUACUACAAUUUGUUUAAACAGGACAUGUCAAGGUGCAUUCGCCUGGAGACUGGCAAACACACCUGUGAUUGGUGAGAUUACUGGAAUAACAUUGCUGCACCCAUAGAAGGCCCGACUCUCAGUCUCCGUUUAUUGCGCAAACGAUUUCAUGGCCAUAUCUGCCGUUUGUUUGCAUUGGCCCGUGUAAAAUCAUAUCUUGUGUGGGGAUGGAUUACACAACGGAGCCAGUAUGUGUCAUAUUAAGCAAGAUAUCAAAACAGCACUAGGUAAGAAACCAAAUAGUGGUGAUUGUUUCCAAGAGUUCUUAUGAUUAAUCCAGACUUGUAAUGCUGAUUCAUAUCUUUUAGGAAUUUCUCUCAGUCUGCUGGCAGAACCAUCGCCAACCGCUCUCACCUCCGGGUUUGUUUGCGGUCUGGAUGGAUACUCAUCAAUGCAGGAGCCCUAUAGACUAAAAAGUGACUGGGCUUGAUUUGUACUUCCCUCUUGACAAAUGACAUAAAUACACAUUAAGCAGUGAAAGCGUUUGUCUUAGGAACUCUUUAAAACACCUCCAAACCAAGAAAUGCUCCACAAAACAACAAAGACGUUGCAGUGCUUGUUAAGCUUGGACGGGGAGUGGGGUGCAGAGGCAUU
ensembl:lncRNA